rnacentral:rRNA from 1 species
UACAGAGGUGGCAAGCGUUGUUCGGAAUUACUGGGCGUAAAGGGCGAGUAGGUGGCCAUCUAAGUCAGACGUGAAAUCCCCCGGCUUAACCUGGGAACUGCGUCUGAUACUGGACGGCUUGAGUAUGGGAGAGGGAUGUAGAAUUCCAGGUGUAGCGGUGAAAUGCGUAGAUAUCUGGAGGAAUACCGGUGGCGAAGGCGGCAUCCUGGACCGGCAUUGACGCUGAGUGAGCGAAAGCCAGGGGAGCAAACGGG